UGUUCUUUGGCGGUUAAACUGCCAGUUUGUCAGGCUGCUUGAUGAAGAAGAGGUCAGAUCUUGUUCAUCCAACUGCUGUCAGCUUUUCUGUAAGGAACCCCAGCCAGAUAUCAGCAGAGAACCUGUCUGUGUCCUCCAUGGCGUUUGCCGGGAAUUCAGAGGUGCUGGCGCUGCUGGGACUUGAAAGAGAAGCUGAGUUGCCUGGCAAUGUAGAAGCUACAGCAUCUGGGCCCUCUGACCUCCUGCUCAGUGUCACAUUGUUAAAGGUGGCCCAGCAUCUGGCAUGGGAGAAGAUGGUGACAGCAGAGUUCAGCACCUGGAAGAAAUGAAGGGGCCUGAAGGAACCAGAAAAGUGGUGGGAGGCCCAGGGACCUGUUUGGAGGAAGAAUCAGCUACACAAACACCGGGAAUGGAGUGGAGCAGCUUGCAGCUUCUGACAGCCAGGCUGAGGCUUCAGGGUUCACAUUUCGACAACAAAGACAACUUCCUUCCCGUGCCUCGAUGCCCUUCAGUGACUGUAGGAACGGGAGUGGCGCUGUCACUGCCUUCAGAUCUAGAACAUGGUGGCUGACUGUCUGUUCCUUACUUGGACAUCAACAGACACUUGUUCUCACUUGGGAGGAAUAUGGAAGAGGUUGCCUUACAUGGUCCUGUGCAUGUAUUCUCAGCUUUCCAGUCAGAUAUCCCACUGCAGGAUGGACGGCCUGACAAAUUGUGUCUUGUGUUCUAACAAAAACGGGAGACAAUGUUUCAUCAAGUCAAGAAGUGUCCUCCUUCCCUUCAGAGUAAAUGCUGGCACAGGUGUGCGUGCAAAACCACCGGGCUGUGAGGCAUGUCCAGAAUUCCUAACUUCUGGCCUUUCCACCAGCUCGUCUCUAGAAUUGAGGAGGCUCAUCGCACCCCCAGUCAGACGGGUACCGCACAUACCGUGGAACAGAAGAAAUGACAAAUGACCAGAGGUCUCUGCAGCUACCACCUCUUGAAAAGUUGUCAGUGCCAUUUUGGCCACCAUUCUGGCACUGAAGGCAGACAUAGGACAGGGUGUCACUGCUUUGUCUUCCAGGCUGAGCUGGGUAGGCCUUGAAAACUCAGCUGGAUGCCAGUCUCCAAGAAGUUGACUAGGAGUCCCUAGGGUCCGUAGGUCCUUUAUACUUUGGCAUGAUUUGCAGAGCUCACCAUGCUCCUGCUCUGAACUCAAGGAUGCCAUGUUGCCGUACUGAUGACUGUGCCUACUUUGUGACUAGGGAAACACUGGACUGGCUCUCUGGUGCCUCUGUAUACAGCUACACAAAGGACAGCUUAGAACAAAUCAGGGGAAAGACAUGGCGAGCUGAUGCGUAGGGUGGGUUCUUACAUGGUUGACUUAGCCAUCUUCCCAAUCCUAAAGAUUUCCUGCUUUUGGGGUCCAGUAGGUUGACUUAGCUCUCCGUCGCCCCAGAAAAAAAAAUCCUAAAGCCUUUCUUUCCAUAACUAAACUAUAAUUGGCACUACCUACAAUGCUGGAACUAGGAGGUGGUGAGACCUCAAACGCCACUGUCCCCUCUUCUUGGAGACAUAUCCUCUCCUGAUGCAGUACUCCAAGGUGAACCGAUGCAGACCUUUCCCUGUGGCCUAGCACUACAGACAGGACCUCGAGAUAAAACAUACACAGAGGAAGUAAUGCCUAAAUGUUUCCUUGCUCUACAUUGGGGAAAGUAUUUGCUUUUCUAGACAGUACACGUUUGCAGAGGUAGUGUUUUGGAGAGUGGACAGGGAUCCCUGGGAUACGUGGUGCCUGUUUCCUGUGAGCAGUGUCUGCCUCGGAACAAAGAUUCUCUGCACAUCAGAUGACCAUAGGGCAUCCAUUUGUCUGUGGAAGGUUGGAUGUGUACUUUAGGGCUGGCUUUGCCAACACUACUAGUGUUUGUUUCCUCUCCGAUUCUGCCACAGGAAUCCUGUGGUGGUAGACAUGCCUACUCUCUGGAGCUUGGGGUGGUUCAUUGUGUAAACUUUUUUGAGGGAGCACGGCUACGCUGAAUCCCCAAUUUCUCUUCUGGAAUCCAUUCAACAGAUGUCAUGAAGUACUGUGCUUCAGUGACCUGUCGGCCGUGAAGAGUCUGCUCACGGCUGACCCUUGACUUUGUGUCAUGACUGAUAAGCCCUAGAGUUUUUGUGGGGAGUUCUCCUGUACUUUGACUUUGGGGGUCAAAAUUGAAAAUAUAAGGCUUUUUAUCUUGUGCCAAAACUUCUUUUUAUUGUUAUUUGACCUGUCGAUUUGGACAGAACUCAUCCCUGUAAACUGUUUUUCCUGCCUUUGACUUCUUUGCUCAUCUUAUUCAAAAUUUGGAUAAAACUCAUGGCUAUGCCAUGCUUGCUGUGGUUUGAAAUAUGGUGGACAUUCUGUGCUCCUGACAGAAAAGGAAACUUGUCCUGGAAGGGUGACUGGGUUGUAGGGGGCACAGUCUUGAAGGUGAACUGAAAGGCCCUGGCGGCCAGGAUAUCUGUAGCAAGCAGAACCUCGAGGUACAGUCUUGGCAGAACUUUCAGUGGCCCAGUCCUGUAGGACCGUGCCAGCGGCUGAGCAGUGAGAGGUGCUCAGGCCCGAGUCUUCUGGAUCCUAGGAAAUCGUUCUAGAAUCGGAUAGACUUUACUGGUCUCCAGUGAUUCAUUGAGUUACCACAGGGAGUUCCCAGUCACAGGACUCUUCCUCCUCUGUCUUCUCCAGCUCCCUGGUUUCCUAGCUACUUGGUGAUUGGGAUGCCACCCUGAUCUCCCAAACUGACACCCUUGGUACUUUCCUCUAAAGUCACACCUCUUGGCAUCCACCACACCCUCAGUCUCCUGUGACUCAUAGGCUUCCUUGAUUAGGCCUGGAUUCGCCACUGGGUUGCCUAUCCAAGAUUCCAGAACCAUUUCACUCUCCCAGUCUCUGCCCACGAGGCUCUGUGGGAUGGACACCAAUGUCACAUUGUCUUGGUUAGGUAUCGGGGCUUCAGAGGGACCAGACUUGUCACUAGUUGGCGUCUCUCUCAGGAAUUAUAACUGGAGUGCAGAAAGACAGUCCUGUGUGGACAGAUUCCACAGUGGAUAUUAAUUUCUUCACUCUCUUCUGAACCUUUUUUAAAAGGUUCUCCCAGGACACUGGACGUUUGGACAAUGGAUUCAUCUCUAGAGUCUCAGUAGGACAAAGAGGUACUGGAAGGCUGUGGCACGGGCUAAGCUGUAGCCUUGUUCACAUUGAAAACAGUUAUGCCCUUGAGGUCUCUGAGGGGCAGGUUCCAUCUGUGCCUCACCAGGCAUCUUGUAAGAUGUGUUCCCUGCAAGUUUUGAGUGCCAGGAUCCUGGAAGGAAGGCCCAUUAGAAGUUUCCUUGUAGGUAAUUGUAUCAUUCCAAGAGUGUUGUCUACAUGUUACCUUAUUACUCUUGAGUUAUUCAGGGAUAAGAACACAGAGUCCAUAUAUUUUCCAUGACAAUUGCUCAUGGGCAGCUUACUGCCUCUGGAAUCCCUACACCUGCUGCUUGAGUGAUUAUUCAGGAUGCCUUGUAGCUGCUGCUUUCCUGGUACACCAGGGGAACAUUCCACGAGCCACUUAGAUGGCUCCUGUGGCAAGUUUCCACCUCUCCUUCAGAGACACCCUGAGAACUUUGAAACCUUCUGGGUUCCUGUACAGAUCUUUCGUAGCUCUUCCCAGCUGUUUCUCAGAUCCUUGCAUGAGUCCUUCCAGAGUUGGAAUAACUCUAAAACCCAAUUGGGAUUAUGGGCCUGCAUGCCCGUGAUUGUGCUUCAAGAUCCCAAUUUAUUAUUCUGUCUGCUGUUUGACACCUAGAAUGCCACCUCUUGAAGAAGCUCUUAGAGAGUAGGAGCCAUUUAGUGGCUGUGGUUAAAAAGUCACAGGAAUCAACUCACAUGGAAAAGGUGGGCCUCAUGGGGCCAGCGGUCUGUUGUGUACCUCCUAGGGGAAUUUGUUCACCCUAGGCUCCAGGGGAACAACCCUUAAAAAUGUGGCACACACAACACACAAUAGCCCCGCAAGGCCCAGUCACUAUUGGAUGUAAUAAAUUCUCAGGAUAAACUCCCAGGGAAGGUCAGGUGGAAGUUAAUCAAGGAACUUCAUGUCCAUCAGUAUAGGCAGAUGUAAAUCAGCCAGCAUCCACAGAGUGUCUCAUGAAAGGUUUUAGAUUUGGUGUUUUGGAUUCCAGCCACUGAUGGAGAUGGGGACCAGGACUGAUUCUGAGUCAAAGAUUGGGAUUGGACAAUUGAUGAAGCAAGGAAUUUUGAGAAAAGAGCUGUGGAGGUGUGAUAGUCUAAACUUGUUUGGGGAUGUAAUAGAGCAUCCAUUGAAUAAGAUGGAGGGGAGAUCCAUUAAGGAUUCUGCCAUGUUGAUAGUAGCCACAAGGGACUCACUUUGGAGAAAGGGGAGGACCCAGAAAAGCUGGUUACAUUUCUGUUCUAUAUUGUUGCCUGACAGAACUUCUGACGGCCUGAAAACGGCUCUGAUUUAGUUUUUGCUCCAGAAGGGGCAUGAGGUGGUGCUGACCUGCUUCUGCUGCAGGACUGCAGCGUAUUGUCCAUACAGCUCAAGUGUGGAUGGACAGAUCAUUUUUUCCCUUGCCCCUUCUAAACUUUUCGUUCAACCUUCUUUUAAACUGAGCAUUCAGCCUCUCCUGGAUACCAGGCUUGAUAAAAAGGCUCUAUCUGCCUGUAUGUGAGGCCUGUCCAGAAAGAGGCCUCUCUUUCUCAUCACAGCCAUAUGACGAGGUUUAGUGGCACAAUUUUUCACAGAUACCCGGGACCUGGAAGUGCCUAGGGUAGGCUUGCUUGGGUAAUCCAGGCCUGCAGUGAUUGAGGUAGGCGUCCUUGCGAGGUCCAGGCCUGGUGUGGUUGAGGUAGGCCUGUUUGAGUGGUCCAGUCCUGGGGUGGUUGGGAUGGGAGAAGGCAAACCUAGCAGAGGUGUGCUCUUUAAGGUCCACGGUGCUUUCCUGUCAAACCGAGGAGCUGAUGUACUGGGAUCUGACUUGGAUGGAGGUCAAGCCAUAGGCUCAGCAGGAUGAGCAGCUAGGGAAGGUGCCCAUGGCGGUGAGUGGCACCGUCCAGAAGCCAAGGUCUCUCUGAUGGCUGAGAAGCACUCACUCAGCUGAGAGGCAGCUGUGACUCGGUAGAAGCUUGGGCUUCUGCAGGACAGGUGACAAGGUAGAGUUUUGCACAGCAGGUGUUUCUCAAAAGGAGCUGAGGAGGCCACCGGUUAGAAAUUGGUGGCCACAGACUCCUCUGUGGGCUGCCUAGGUGGCAGGUGGGCUUUGGUUUGGCUGCUUCACCUGAGGCAUCUUGUCUUAAGUGCUGGCAAAAGCUGAUGAUAUUGACAAGCCUUCCCAUGGUGCUGUGGGAGGCAGGAGAUAUGAUUGCAGCCAGGAUCUCAUGAGGCCAGGAGCGGGGCAAGCUGAGUAGGGAAGGACCCUUGCAGCCCAGCACGACCACCGUUCCACACUCUGCUCUACAAGACCUUGUUACCUUAACAUCCACGUCUGUACUCAUAUCCCCCCCUCCCCAUCCUCAUGCCCUGUCAGGGGUAAAAACCUAACAGAAAACAGAAGUGAGGAGCCAGAGAGAACUGGAGAUGGCUCACCUGUGCAGAAGGAAACCCAGUACCUUGUCCUCCUUUGGUUUCUUCCUGCUGCCUCUGUAAGCUGGAAAUGGAGACUGGGUUAUGGUGACUAAAAGAGGGACUGGGUAUCUUACCAGAGACUGAGCAAAAUGUCCUUUCAGUAGAAAUGAGCAGUUAAACAGGAGCUCAGUCAUCCGUGAGCAAGGCCGCAUGCCCAAAUUCGUGGAGAACAAGGUAUAUGUUGGGCAGGACCAUGCCAUAGACCAUGUGUGUGCACUUCUGAUGCCCUUCAGGGUUUCAUAAUCUCUCUGUGUAGAGGAGAUGGAAGUACAUUUUUUAUAGCUCAGACUAGAUCUGGGCUCUGGAGCCUCCUGCCUCUGUCUCCUAAAUGUUGGGAUUACAGGCAUGUGCAAUGUGACAGUCUUAACUCAUAUACUUUGGCAGAUUUUUACAAAUAUUUAUAUUAUUUUUAAGUGUGGAUAGUGAAGAUGUCUUGGAGGCCCAUGGAAUCAAACCUCCUAAUCAGGCAGCUGUGAGCCCCCUCAUCAGAAGGUACAGGAAACGGUACCAGGUCCUCUGGAAGAGCAGCCACUGCUCCUAACCACGGAGUUAUCUUCCAUUCCACUUUCGUAGACUUGCAAGUGUGAAUUAAAGUGAGAUUAGUUCAAAAGGAUGAGAAAUAUUUUCCCCUUUUUGUCUUAGGCUCAUUCGUUAUGUUCCUGUAAAUUAAGCAGACAGCAAAGCUGACAACAAAAGAAAACCAGGACUUAGCAUACGUGUUGCGCUUACAUGGAGGGGCUGGGGGAAGUCCUGAGUAAGAGAAUCUAACAGACAGUUUAGAACUGGGGCUUGUUUACCACCUCAACCCAAACCAGUAAAUUGUAAACAAAAGACAGGAAAAGAGCCGAGAUUGAAGAGGCAGCAGCAGGCUGUGGGGAGGUGGAUGGAGGGGAGAGUGGAAGAUGACCUGACUGGCUGGCUGUCUCCUAGGGCCUGGUGCCUCCCCAGUCUGUUGUUGAGUUGGUGAUGAG